rnacentral:rRNA from 1 species
GACGAACGCUGGCGGCGUGCUUAACACAUGCCAGUCGAACGGGCCUGUCUUCUUUUUUGGGGGUGGGUUGAGUGGCGAACGGGUGAGUAUCACGUGAGUAACCUGCCCUUCGGUCCUGGAUAACCGCUUGAAAGGGCGGCUAAUACGGGGUGGUCCGGUUGGUCCGCAUGGGCUGGUCGGGAUAGAUUCACUGUUUUUGGUGUUUCGGCGGGGGAUGGGCUCGCGGCCUAUCAGCUUGUUGGUGGGGUGAUGGCCUACCAAGGCGGUGACGGGUAGCCGGCCUGAGAGGGUGGGCGGCCACACUGGGACUGAGAUACGGCCCAGACUCCUGCGGGAGGAAGCAGUGGGGGGUAUUGCACAAUGGGCGGAAGCCUGAUGCAGCGACGUCGCGUGAGGGAUGGAGGCCUUCGGGUUGUGAACCUCUGUUUCCGGUGGUGAAGGCCCUGUCCGUGUGGUGGGGUUGACGGUAGCCGGGGAUGAAGCGCCGGCUAACUACGUG